rnacentral:rRNA from 1 species
CGCGUAGGCGGAUAGUUUAGUCAGAGGUGAAAGCCCAGGGCUCAACCUUGGAAAUGCCUUUGAUACUGGCUAUCUUGAGUACGGGAGAGGUGUGUGGAACUCCGAGUGUAGAGGUGAAAUUCGUAGAUAUUCGGAAGAACACCGGUGGCGAAGGCGACACACUGGCCCGUUACUGACGCUGAGGCGCGAAAGCGUGGGGAGCAAACA